AUGACAGCAAAAAGACAGUAAAAUACAAUAAAACACACAAGGUUACAUUUAUGACAUAAAAUACAGACAUGCAACAUAUACCCAGAUAGCUAAGAUCUGAGUGCACAUUAUUACUGAAUGGCGCUCAGAGCACACACAAACAGUUCAAUUGCCAUGGAGCCAAAGUCUUUCCCAUAGUCUUUCAUUAUACGAAUGGGCUCCAUGGCAUAGCUAUCUGGGGUAUCACCACUCAAACAGGGCAAGCACCAAAUGACCCGGCUUUCUUGUCUUUGCAGGGGAAAAGAAAGUCUUUUAACAUGGGGCCAUAAUCCAAAGGCAACAGGCGAGCAACCAGGCUUCUCCAAUGCAAUGUGGCGAGAUUGGUCUCGUC